UGGGGAAUUUUGGACAAUGGGCGCAAGCCUGAUCCAGCAAUACCGCGUGCAGGAAGAAGGCCUUCGGGUUGUAAACUGCUUUUGUGUGGAACGAAAAGAUUUGGGUUAAUACCCUAGAUUGAUGACGGUACCACAAGAAUAAGCACCGGCUAACUACGUGCCAGCAGCCGCGGUAAUACGUAGGGUGCGAGCGUUAAUCGGAAUUACUGGGCGUAAAGCGUGCGCAGGCGGUUGUGUAAGACAGAUGUGAAAUCCCCGAGCUUAACUUGGGAACUGCAUUUGUGACUGCACGGCUAGAGUGCGGCAGAGGGGGAUGGAAUUCCGCGUGUAGCAGUGAAAUGCGUAGAUAUGCGGAAGAACACCGAUGGCGAAGGCAAUCCCCUGGGCCUGCACUGACGCU
rnacentral:rRNA from 1 species